GAUGAAGAACGUAGUGAAAUGCGAUAAGUAAUGUGAAUUGCAGAAUUCAGUGAAUCAUCGAAUCUUUGAACGCACCUUGCGCCCUUUGGCCAUUCCGAAGGGCAUGCCUGUUUGAGUAUCAUGAACACCUCAACUCUUUAUGGUUUUCCAUGAUGAGCUUGGACUCUGGGGGUUUUGCUGGCUCACAGUCGGCUCCUCUAAAAUGAAUCAGCUUACCAGUGUUUGGUGGGUAUCAUGGGUGUGAUAACUAUCUACGCUUGUGGUUUUUCCACCAGGUAACCUUCAGCAGUGGAGGUUCGCUGGAGCUCAUAGAUGUCUCUCCUCAGUGAGGACAGCCCUUUGAAUGUUUGAUCUCAAAUCAGGUAGGACUACCCGCUGAACUUAAGCAUAUCAAUAAGCGGAGGA
rnacentral:misc_RNA from 1 species